rnacentral:rRNA from 1 species
UACGUAGGGCGCAAGCGUUAUCCGGAAUUAUUGGGCGUAAAGAGCUCGUAGGCGGUUUGUCGCGUCUGCCGUGAAAGUCCGGGGCUCAACUCCGGAUCUGCGGUGGGUACGGGCAGACUAGAGUGAUGUAGGGGAGACUGGAAUUCCUGGUGUAGCGGUGAAAUGCGCAGAUAUCAGGAAGAACACCAGUGGCGAAGGCGGUGCUCUGGGCCGGAACUGACGCUGAGGAGCGAAAGCGUGGGGAGCAAACAGG